rnacentral:pre_miRNA from 1 species
UUUCUACUCCCUCCAUCCGAAAAUACUUGUCAUCAAAAUGGAUAAAAAUAGAUGUAUCUAUAACUAAAAUACGUCUAGAUACAUUUCCUUUUAUCCAUUUUGAUGACAAGUAUUUCCGGACGGAGGGAGUAUUUG